GACGAACGCUGGCGGCGUGCUUAGCACAUGCAAGUCGAACGGAAAGGCCCUGCUUUUGUGGGGUGCUCGAGUGGCGAACGGGUGAGUAACACGUGAGUAACCUGCCCUUGACUUUGGGAUAACUUCAGGAAACUGGGGCUAAUACCGGAUAGGAGCUCCUGCUGCAUGGUGGGGGUUGGAAAGUUUCGGCGGUUGGGGAUGGACUCGCGGCUUAUCAGCUUGUUGGUGGGGUUGUGGCUUACCAAGGCUUUGACGGGUAGCCGGCCUGAGAGGGUGACCGGCCACAUUGGGACUGAGAUACGGCCCAGACUCCUACGGGAGGCAGCAGUGGGGAAUAUUGCACAAUGGGCGGAAGCCUGAUGCAGCAACGCCGCGUGCGGGAUGACGGCCUUCGGGUUGUAAACCGCUUUCGCCUGUGACGAAGCGUGAGUGACGGUAAUGGGUAAAGAAGCACCGGCUAACUACGUG
rnacentral:rRNA from 1 species